rnacentral:rRNA from 1 species
CCUACGGGGGGCAGCAGUGGGGAAUAUUGCACAAUGGGGGAAACCCUGAUGCAGCGACGCCGCGUGAGUGAAGAAGUAUUUCGGUACGUAAAGCUCUAUCAGCAGGGAAGAAAAAAAGUCCUUUGGACUUUGGACGGUACCUGACCAAGAAGCCCCGGCUAACUACGUGCCAGCAGCCGCGGUAAUACGUAGGGGGCAAGCGUUAUCCGGAUUUACUGGGUGUAAAGGGAGCGUAGACGGCAGCGCAAGUCUGGAGUGAAAUGCCGGGGCCCAACCCCGGAACUGCUUUGGAAACUGUGCAGCUCGAGUGCAGGAGAGGUAAGCGGAAUUCCUAGUGUAGCGGUGAAAUGCGUAGAUAUUAGGAGGAACACCAGUGGCGAAGGCGGCUUACUGGACUGUAACUGACGUUGAGGCUCGAAAGCGUGGGGAGCAAACAGG